UACGUAGGGGGCAAGCGUUGUCCGGAAUCAUUGGGCGUAAAGAGCGUGUAGGCGGCCAGAUAAGUCCGCUGUGAAAUCUCGAGGCUCAACUUCGAGCUGUCGGUGGAAACUGUCUGGCUAGAGUCCGGAAGAGGAGAAUGGAAUUCCUGGUGUAGCGGUGAAAUGCGCAGAUAUCAGGAAGAACACCCGUGGCGAAGGCGGUUCUCUGGGACGGUACUGACGCUGAGACGCUAAAGCGUGGGGAGCGAACAGG
rnacentral:rRNA from 1 species